CGUGUUGACUUUAGCGUAGAAUUAAGCUACCUAAUGCUUGCGCUUGAUGAAACAAAACCAAGAAUAUGCUGGACUGGGGGGCGGUACCCCACGGCUCCACCAUAAGCGCACUGAGCGAUCAAGAGGUGGAAUUCUGCCUGAGACUGGUUGCUACAUGAACCGGGGUAGGAUCGGCGCGAUCCAUUUACCUGGGGGAGUGUCUUUGCGGUGCGCUUAUGAUGGGGCCGAAAUAGGAUCGACGGGUAUUCGAGUUGAGUGGAGAGCGUCGGGUGGAAUCCGUGAUUGUUCUAACUUAGUAACUGCAAACAACAACUUUGCACCUCGUGGUGUGGCUCUCGCAGCCUAAACCACAUGGGCCGAUGGAGCGGCCUUGAAACAGAAGGGGCUUCG
rnacentral:tmRNA from 1 species